GGAAAUGAAUGUUCCAUCGAACAGAUGGAGCACGUUCGGGGAAUGCAGGAGAAAUUAGCUCGGUUGAAUUUGGAGCUCUAUGGGGAAUUGGAAGAACUUCCUGAGGAUAAGAGAAAAACAGCCAGUGAUUCUAAUCUGGAUAGGCUUCUCUCUGAUUUAGAAGAAUUGAACUCUUCCAUACAGAAGCUCCACUUGGCUGAUGCACAAGAUGUUCCAAAUACUUCUGCCAGCUAAAAUGAAAUGCAGUUGCUUUCUGGCAGUUUGAAGAAAAGCAGCGUUAUUUACUUUCCCAGCUAAAUCCAGUAGGAGAAUCAUCUUCUAAAAAUAAGGAUUUAAAAUAAUUAAAGUUCAAGUGCAAUGAUUGUUUCCACAUUCUGCUUUUAGUAAAUUUGGCUUGCUGUAAUUCACCCUAACCAGAGGACUAAGCCUUAUUGAAGGUUUAAUCAGGAAAUGUGAUACAAAGGUUGUGCUGCUAUGCUUUAUAUUAUUGCCUUAUGGGGUUAUACUUGAAAUGCAUUGUGCUAAAUGUUAUUGCUAGGGCUGAAGAUUUACCCUUCCUGAGCUCACCAGACUUAUCCCAGUAUUGAUGUUAAGUUGAUGAUGCACAGGCUUUUUGUGGCAGCCCUGCUUCAGUUUACAUGAGACAAUCAGUACAUACACUGUUGUGCUUCCCAAAUGGCCAGUGAUAACAAAAUAAAUUUAAUCUCUGUGAAAUUUGCUAUUUUUAAUAAAGUGACUGUUUUAAAUUA